CGUAAUGUCCCAGAAACCAAGCCAAGUAAAGAAAACGAAUCAAGGAUCAACUGUGUCAGAUGCUACUGAGAAUGCGUGAAAGGUCCCUCCCUUCGGGUACUUUGAAAAUUAAAAGUGAAUGAUUGUCUUAUGAGGCAAACAAUUUAUCAAAGGAGUUGGAUAAGUCAAAUAUGAAAGCAGGACUUGGAUUUAUGGGGCCAGAACCAAGAGACAGAGGCUCUUUCCAAGGGUCAAACAAACCAGGGCUUCCCUGGUGGCACAGUGGUUAAGAAUCUGCCUGCCAGUGCAGGG